GCGGCUGUAGCUCAGUGGUAGAGCGCAACCUUGCCAAGGUUGAAGUCGUGGGUUCGAAUCCCAUCAGCCGCUCCA
rnacentral:tRNA from 2 species